GCCCGUGGGCUUGGCUUUGCGUCUAGUCCGGCGUCGCAGACCGGUUUCGCCAUGUCUCUUCCUCAAACGAUGUAAGCAAUAAAGUUUUGCCGCAGAAGAUUCUGGUCUGUGGUGUUCUUCCUGGCCGGGCGUGAGAACGCGUCUAAUAACAAUUGGUGCCGAAUUCCGGGACGAGAAAAAACUCGGGACUGGCGCAAGGAAGAUCCCUCAUUCCAGAACCAGAACUGCGGGUCGCGGUAAUAAAGGUUCCCGUAAAGCAGACUGUUAAGAAGGAUUCAACUGUAUGAAUUCAGAACUUUUCAGCUGGGGAACGAGAGUACCAGUGAGUACAGCUUUACGAGGUAAGUCUGAUCUUGAACUUUCUAAGGAAAUUCAAGACAGUCUAUCAGAAGUAAAGUGGAAUAUGUUUGGCCUUGAAUUUUUUCUGGUGUUAGGAGCCCUUCUGUUCCUUUUCACAUGUUAUCAAGUGAUUAAGAUAGGGCUGAUUCUAGAGGAAAUUCAGGACAAUCUAUCAGAAGUAAAGCGGGGAGAGAGAGUAGGAGCAAAGAGAAAAUAUGGUACACAAAAUAAGUAUACAGGCCUUUCCAAGGGUCUUGAACCUGAGGAAAAGUUAAGGUUAGGUAGGAAUACCUGGAGAGAGAUUAGAAGAAAAAGAGGAAAAAGGGAAAA
rnacentral:lncRNA from 1 species